GUGGAUUAGAUACCCUGGUAGUCCUGGCAGUAAACGGUGCACGUUUGGUGUGGGAGGAUUCGACCCCUUCCGUGCCGGAGCAAACGCGUUAAACGUGCCGCCUGGGGAGUACGGUCGCAAGAUUAAAACUCAAAGAAAUUGACGGGGACCCGCACAAGCGGUGGAGUAUGUGGCUUAAUUCGAUGCAACGCGAAGAACCUUACCUGGCCUUGACAUGCAUCUCUAAUCCGGUGAAAGCCGGUGAGUGUAGCAAUACACAAUUUGCACGGGUGCUGCACGGUUGUCGUCAGCU
rnacentral:rRNA from 1 species